CAGUAGCCACGGUAAUACGGAGGGUGCAAGCGUUAAUCGGAAUUACUGGGCGUAAAGCGCACGCAGGCGGUCUGACAAGUCAGAUGUGAAAUCCCCGGGCUUAACCUGGGAACUGCAUUUGAAACUGUCAGGCUGGAGUCUUGUAGAGGGGGGUGGAAUUCCAGGUGUAGCGGUGAAAUGCGUAGAGAUCUGGAGGAAUACCGGUGGCGAAGGCGGCCCCCUGGACAAAGACUGACGCUCAGGUGCGAAAGCGUGGGGAGCAAACAGGAUUAGAUACCCCGGUAGUCCCUGUCUCUAUACA
rnacentral:rRNA from 1 species